rnacentral:lncRNA from 1 species
AUUUUUAGGGGCGCUGCCGGGUCCCACGGCCACCCACUGCCCUGCCACGGUGCUGAUUCCCAGACUCCCCACCCACGCCUUUCAUCAUGCAGAGGAGAGCGAGUGAUCACCGGCACCCAUAAAAGUUGCCGGUUAUUGCUCCUGCGAAAGGCGAUGCCUGGAUUUCCCCCAUAUUCCGUGGGUUAGGUGGGGCCACCACCGAGGAGGCAUGUUCAGGAUCAUAGAUGGGAAAGAGCAAGGUAUCCCCACGCCGCGGCUGUUCAAUGGAGGCAAGUAGGCAGGACAGAAUCUUCCGCGGUGGCUUUCCUUUUUUAAAAUCCCUUGCCUACAGCUUGGGGGAGCCCAUGAUAACCCUUCGGUCUGAGCACGGUCCAGCUUUGCACAAAGAGAAGGUGGGUUCUCUCCCAGCAAUCUAUCUAUUGAGGCUUUAGUGGAAACUUUUAAAGCUGGUGCUAUUUAAGACACUGACUUCAUUGCCGCCUUCCCCACCCCCCAAGAACAGAGUCAGACCCUUGAAUUGCUGCUUUAAAGUUCAGGCCAAAACCCGGAGCAGACUCGCCAUCAACACCCAAACACACAAUUUUGGAAUUAGAAAGAGAUGCUCAGUUCCUAAAUUGGUCUCGUUUGAUCUCUGAACCAGAUCUGGCUCCGCCACAGUGGCCCAGACCUCAAGUCGAUUUGGUUUAGAAUUCGGAUUCGCGGACAUAACAAAUCGGUGCUAUGAUUUUUUUGAUGUUAACUUCUCUAGCUUUUACUUUAUUUCUAAAGAACAGCACAGAGUUUUCUAACCUGGAAGGUUCGUCACCGAGACCAGCCUCAGCAGCUGUAACUGAAAUUAGUUAUUUCCAGAGUCUUGAGGGAAUGACUGUAACUAAUUACUGUUCAGAAGUAACUUCUCGCAUUCUCAAAAGGAAUCUUAAACUGGAUGUCAUUGAGGUGGUUCAGCUUUAAUCUUCCUGCACAGUCUCCCCAAAAGGACCCCCAAUAUAAGCCCCCAAAACCUUACUUGGGAGGAACCAGAAGCAAAAAACUAAACAAAACAAAACCAAGCCCAAAAUGUAAAGAGCUUCAAUAUUAUAAAUAUGGAAUAAAUCUGAGACAUUCAUUCCUACA